rnacentral:lncRNA from 1 species
UUGUAACUAGGAGUGCCUUGUGCACUCUAGGGUUCCUAGUGCCACCCUUGGUCUCUACCCACUGGUUGCCUGCCACUGGUUCCCGGAGCAUUACCUGUAACUGUCACAGUGCCUGCAGUUGUGUGCUGGGACAGUCAGCUCUUAGGGAAGAGCUGAGGUGUGGUUUGUGCUUGCCUUAGCAUACCAGGGUUUAACGGCAGUGAAGACUGUGCCGCGCUGGAACAGCUCCUGGAGGGCUAUGACCAGCAAGACCAAGAUCAAGUGUCCGAGGUCUGCAACUCGCCCCUGUUCAAAUACAUGGACAAUGACUAUGCUAAGCUGGGCCUAAGCUUGGUGGUCCCAGGAGGAGGAAUCAAGAAGAAAUCCCCAGCGACACCCCAGGCCAAGCCUGAGGGUGCUGCGGGUGCUGCUGCUGAAGAGGAGGAAGACGAGUAUUCGGGAGGCCUGUGCUAGUGCCCUGCCUGCAGGGAUGAGAAGACGGGAUGCUGACGAGCCUUUCUCAUGGAACUAGGACUCGUCCUGUGGACGCCUCUGCUUCACCGAAGUUCUGAUGUUGAAUGUUAAUUAUCUGAAGUUUUAGUUUUCCAUUUCCCACACCAGCCAUUGUAUCUACUGCCUGUGAGGCAUUCUUUCCUUUCUCUUGUAAGCAGAAAAUAAAUCGUCAUAUUUUAACAAUUG